rnacentral:rRNA from 1 species
AGGACGAACGCUGGCGGCGUGCUUAACACAUGCAAGUCGAACGAUUCCGCUCCUUCGGGUGUGGUUUAGUGGCGAACGGGUGAGUAACACGUGGGCAACCUGCCCUCCACUCUGGGAUAACUCCGGGAAACCGGGGCUAAUACUGGAUACGACCUUCGGCCGCAUGGCUGGGGGUGGAAAGUUUUUUCGGUGGAGGAUGGGCCCGCGGCCUAUCAGCUUGUUGGUGGGGUGAUGGCCUACCAAGGCGGUGACGGGUAG